rnacentral:rRNA from 1 species
UGGGGAAUAUUGCACAAUGGGCGCAAGCCUGAUGCAGCCAUGCCGCGUGUAUGAAGAAGGCCUUCGGGUUGUAAAGUACUUUCAGCGGGGAGGAAGGUGAUAAGGUUAAUAACCUUGUCGAUUGACGUUACCCGCAGAAGAAGCACCGGCUAACUCCGUG